UCCAAAUACGCGAGAUGAUUUAAUGUUG
rnacentral:sRNA from 1 species